CUGCAUGUUGACCAAGAGCUAUGGCUUGGCAAAUAGCCACAGGGUCUCCAACAACAUGCAAGAACAAGAGGGAGGGACUUUGACUCCUCAGGCUUGGUUAGCUGUGGAUGUCACUCGACUCUCCGACACAG